AACGAACGCUGGCGGCAUGCCUAACACAUGCAAGUCGAACGAGAUCUUCGGGUCUAGUGGCGCACGGGUGCGUAACGCGUGGGAAUCUGCCCUUUGGUUCGGAAUAACAGUUGGAAACGACUGCUAAUACCGGAUGAUGACGAAAGUCCAAAGAUUUAUCGCCAGAGGAUGAGCCCGCGUAGGAUUAGCUAGUUGGUGUGGUAAAGGCGCACCAAGGCGACGAUCCUUAGCUGGUCUGAGAGGAUGAUCAGCCACACUGGGACUGAGACACGGCCCAGACUCCUACGGGAGGCAGCAGUGGGGAAUAUUGGACAAUGGGCGAAAGCCUGAUCCAGCAAUGCCGCGUGAGUGAUGAAGGCCUUAGGGUUGUAAAGCUCUUUUGCCAGGGAAGAUAAUGACUGUACCUGGAGAAUAAGCCCCGGCUAACUUCGUGCCAGCAGCCGCCGCAG
rnacentral:rRNA from 1 species